GAAAUGCGAUACGUAGUGUGAAUUGCAGAAAUACGUGAAUCAUCGAAUCUUUGAACGCAAAUUGCGCUCGCGGCUUCGGCCAAGAGCAUGUCUGCCUCAGCGUCGGGUUAAUACUCGCUCCCCCACCCCUGUGGGUGCGGUGAGAGCGGAACUGGCUUUCCCGGCAACACCUGCCGGGUCUGCUGAAGCGCAGAGGUUGAUGCAUGGACCCGCUAACGGGCCUCUACUGGGUAGGCAACUCGCUUGCUAAAUGCUUUAGUAGAUGGCUUGGGGCUGUGCUGGUCGACCCAAACCAGGAAACAUAUAACCCUAUUUUCUCGACCUGAGCUCAGGCAAGAACACCCGCUGAGCUUAAAC
rnacentral:misc_RNA from 1 species